rnacentral:ncRNA from 1 species
UUAAGUGCAAAGAUAGAGAAUAGUAAAGAUGUGAUGUUUCACAGAAAGCGGAUUAUGGAUGAGAGAUCUGCAAACUAGCUUCUUGAACCCGCUCUGGAGCAUAUGACGAGCAAGUCAAUACGUUGAUCACGUUACGAUUAUGAAAGUGAGCCGAGUUCGGCUAAUUAGGGUGGUACCGCGGGUAACUCUCGUCCCUUCA